rnacentral:lncRNA from 1 species
AGCAACACUCACCUCAAAUACUGAAACACUUCCUAAUUAAAUUAUGAAAAGUAAUGUGCAGUGUAUUCCAUCUUUAUUCUAAGCUUAUGAAUAAUCUGAAAUGCAAAAAAAAUUCUUAACAACUAUUCAAAGUUAGUAUAAUACCCAUAGGGAGGAGGCAGCCAAUCUUCCUCUUCCGUGUCUUCACCACAAUCAACAAUUUGUAUGACUUCCUCGUUCGUUGGUCCCUUUUCAUCCUAAUUAACAUAAUUAAACAGCUACACGAAAGAAACUGCAGUAUAAUACUAAAAGCAACCCAAAUCACAUAUAGUUGUGUUAAGAUAUUAUAAUUGAUUUUAUUUUGUUCCUUGUAAUAGUUGAAUAGUACAUCUUAUCUUAUUGAAUGUCAUACCCAUACGACUAAAUUUAUAGCUCCCUUCAUAUGAAUAUCAUUCCAUAAUUAAUUUGGACAUUGAGGUUGCAAAUUCGGCCUUAUGUGAUCUCAAACAAUGUAGUUGAUUUUGUUAGAAAAUUCUAAUUAUUUCAAACAUUCUGUUAAUUUGGAUAUAAAUAUUUUGUAAUAAUAAAUAUAAAAACGUGAAUAAAAUAUAACUAAAUGUAUCCAUUAUUCUCCACUCUUGUAGCAUGCACUAAAGAGAAGAUAGUAGUAGUAGUAUCAUGUACAACUCCUAUUAUCCUGCCUGCAUUAAAUGUAUUGAACGUAAUAAGUGAACGUGGUGGUGGUGGUGGUGAUGGUGAUGGUGGUGGUGGUGGUGGUUUUACUCACCAAAGAUAGAAGAAAUGGAUCAUGUGAUAGGAAUGAGUGGCAGAGUGUAAUGCAGGCCUCAGAAUGUGAUAGGAAUGAGUGGCAGAGUGUGAUUCACAUGGGAAUCAUGUGCAUCAAAGUACCAUAUAGUAUACGUAAAAUGAAGCUAACAUGUAUAAAUGUACAAAAAAAGAGAAUUAAUAUGGCAGUUCCAAACUGAAGGUUUUGCAAAGCAAAAGAACUAAAGCAAAAAAUUAAUAAAUAGAUUAUCCACAUUGAAGUGCUAAUUUGGAACUUACAAAGCAUUCCAUCAUCAUCAUUGUUUGGAACAUCAUCGCCAUUGUCCUGCACAGAACAUAAUUGGUUUAGAUGGCAAAAUAGCAGUCUCCCUUAAAAAUUAAUACUAUAUAGCAGCAAAGAUCAACUUACCCCCAAUAAUCCUCAGAGUCCAUAUCAGUUGCAAACACAUACGAACCAUAUAUAGAUCUUCUUCAGACUGAAACAUAUUGCAUUGAUGAACCCCAGGCUUUUAGUAUAGUAGGUGGCUUAUGCAGAUAAAGUGUUUCCCUAUAUAGUUCCACGAAAAAUAUAAUUAGAACAAUGAAUCAUCUUUUUAUAGGAGUUAGUUCUUAUUCCAAAAACAUGAAAAACUAAAACCCUCAUUACAAUUGAGCAAUUAUGCCAACACAUAUAUACAAUUGACACAUGUGGAUAUAUUUAUUUCGAGAUGCAAAUGCCAAAUGGGUAAUCCAAUCAAACCAUUGAGACUACCAAAUAUAUAUGGAACUAAUUAAUCAAAGAGUGAAUACCUCAACAUUGAGACUGACAUCGAGCUCCAAUCCAUCAUUAGAGACCGAAAAAUCAACCUAAUUCCUUCUUUCUCGGUUCAAUAUCUUUAAUCAUGCAAGCAGAAUUAAAACAUACCACUCAAAUCAUAAUCCAAAACAAAACACUAAUUACUCUACAUAAAAGCAAAUUAUAUGCAAAUAUGAGAUGAAAUUGAAGUGAAUUCUUACAUACGUGAACCGAUUGAAGAGUUUAAAACAUAGUAGGUGGAAUUUAGAAUCUAUGAACUAAGAAUUUUAGAGGGAGAGGGACUACAGACUACAGAGAACUCCCGUCGAUAUAGCUUUUCUCUUUCAUCGGGCAAAUUAUAUGCAAAUAUGAGACGAAAUUGAGGUGAAUUCUUACAUACAUGAACCGAUUGAAGACGUUAAAACAUAAUAGGUGGAAUUUGGAAUCUAUGAACUGAGAAUUUUAGAGGGAGAGGGACUACAGACUAUAGAGAACUCCCGACGACAUAGCUUUUCUCUUUCAUCGGGGGUUUGGUUUGGCGCUACCUCCUCCUUUUUGACUGAAACCAGUCGGAAAGCUAAAGAAAAUCCUCCAAUAAACAAUUGUGUUACAAACCUGUCCUUGAUUAUCCAAUCGGGUUUGUUGCAUGCAAAUAAAUCCGGGUUUGGCUUAUCUAUUUUCACGUGUAAUUUAGCGUUGGACUCGCCAGUUAACGUCGUCGUCAUCGGCAAAAAAAAUCGAACGAUCGACAAACUCCAUUGUUUGCAAUUUAUCGAAUUGCUCCACCCAAAAAAGCCCCAAAUCGUAUUCAUUUGUCAAAGUUUAGGGUAAAUCAUAGAUAGAGAAAAGAGAUUUGGGAUGCGUGUGGGAGGAGGGAGAGAAACGGAACAAAAGAAAAAUUGAGGAAAUCAAUUUCGCUGAGAAGGGGAAGGGAAGAAACUGAAGUGAUUGAAGAUAAGGUAGUGAAGAAGAAACAAAUGGUUUAUGGCUGAGGAAGAGGAAGGGAUUAGCCCAUCUCAAUAAAUAACUCAGUGAAAUUGCAAAAUUUGCUUAAAUUGAUUAUGAGUCAAUUUCAAAUUGGAUUGUCUUUACUGCCUUUAUAUAUAAGUAUUGAUAUGGGUUAAUAAAUAUGAUUAAGCAUCAACCAUACUUAUUGGACUAGCCUAUACAUGUGUAUAAUGAAUUGAUGUGGGAUGGAUGGAGCAAAUAGAGUUGAGUCAGGUAAGACUUAGCAAAAAACAGAUAAAAUCGAAUAACUGAAUCGAACCGAAUUUUUUUAAUCAAAUUUUUUUGAUAAUUCGAUUAUAUCCAAUUUUAUUUUCAAUUUUCGGGUUUGAUUUUCGAUUUUUUGUUAUUUGGUUAACCGAAUAACCGAAAUAGAAAAAACAAUUUAAGUCUUAACAUCAUACUCUCAUCUCUCUGUCUGACUAUCUCUCACUUUCUCUAAUCUCAAAACUCAGAAGACUCUCAUCUCGAUCUCAUUUUCUCUCACCUAUUUCGACAGUCGACUCUCAUCUUCUCUUACCAAAUCGAUCUCUCAGAUCUCAAUCCUCAACCAUCAGUUCUCAGAUUUGCUCUCGAUUUCUCACUCCCUGUCACCGCCCCUCAGUUUUCCUUAGAUCUGCUCUCGAUUUCUCAGAAACUCCCUCAGCCAUUGCCCCUCAGGUUUCUCACUCCCUACCUUAAUGCCCUAACCCAAACAGAUAAUCACAUUGCAGAGAUGACUGCAGAGACGUUAGAUUUUGCUAAUAGAUGUAUGUGUGUGUGUGUGUGUGUGAGGGCACAAGUGAGGGAUUUGCAGUUUUGUCAUAUAUAUAUAUAUNNNNNNNNNNNNNNNNNNNNNNNNNNNNNNNNNNNNNNNNNNNNNNNNNNNNNNNNNNNNNNNNNNNNNNNNNNNNNNNNNNNNNNNNNNNNNNNNNNNNNNNNNNNNNNNNNNNNNNNNNNNNNNNNNNNNNNNNNNNNNNNNNNNNNNNNNNNNNNNNNNNNNNNNNNNNNNNNNNNNNNNNNNNNNNNNNNNNNNNNNNNNNNNNNNNNNNNNNNNNNNNNNNNNNNNNNNNNNNNNNNNNNNNNNNNNNNNNNNNNNNNNNNNNNNNNNACACACACACACACACACACACACACAUAUAUAUAUAUAUAUAUAUAUAUAUAUAUAUAUAUCUUAAUAUAUGUUGUAUUUUGGUUAUUUUUAAUCUAUCUCUAUUCAAAUUCAGAACUACCAUCAAUACAUUGCUCUAGUUUAAAAGUCUAAGCAUAUUCUGAAGAAUUUUCAGUUAAUUUUUCUGAACUAAAAUUUCCCCCCUCUUUUGCUACCACCCUGACUGAAUGUAAAGUGUAAAGUUGUUCAUUUUAUUUGGGAAUAUAAAGAGCAGAAAGUAUUUGUCAUCUUGCUGUUAAUUUGUUUUUUUAUCUGGGUUUUUGCUUAUCUAUGGUCAUGACUCAAUUGAGGAUUUGUUUGUGAAUCAAAUGAUGAAAGAAGAUGAAGAACAUAGAUUUUUGUGCAGGUUUUGUAAAAGGAGUUUUUUAGUAAAAAGUCCUUCAUUUUGGUUAUUAACCGUAUAACCGAAUAGUAAAUUCGAUUAUUCGGUAAUUUGAUUAUCUCCGAAUUCGGUUAACAAUUCAGAUAUCAAAAUAGUGUUAAUUUCGAUUUUUGGUUAACCGAAUAAGCUAUUCGGUUCGAUUAUAAACGAAUACUCAGCUCUAGAGUCAGGUGGAGCACAAGAUGAUCACUUGAUUCACCCCAUCCCUUGUAUUCCAGGAAAAUUUACAUGCUGGGAUUCGUGAUAGUUCAUAUAGUGGAAUUUAGUACGGCUCCUGCAUAAUCACUGCCCGGGAAAUGGUGGGUCUAAUUUGCGAUCCCUUAAACCCACAUGACCCAAAUGAAAUCAAAGUUUCCUUGUCAAAUUCACAUAUUUGCAGGGCCCAAGGGUUUUUGAUGGUGAAAUCUUUAAUUUAAGGAGGUGGGUUGCAAUUAGGGGUGAUCAUUCGGUUAUAACCGAACCGAAUAGGCUAUUCGGUUAUAACCGAAUACCAAAUUAUCCAUAAUUUUAUUAUCCGAACACUAACCCAAAUUUUGAACUAACCGAAUUACCGAAUACCGAAUUACCGAAUUGUACAUUCGGGUAUUCGGGUAAUAACCGAAUUAAAGGCUUCCAUAAUUAACAUAACAACAUUACAAUUCACAACAAUCAGUCAAUCAACAAUAAACAGCAGAAGAAGCCAAUGCCCAUUAUAUGAUUAAAAUUAACAAAAUUAAACAGAGUUGUUGUGUUUUUGUCCUUGCCCGAUUUUGCCUUUUUCUCGCUCUGUGCAAGGCUGAGCAAUAGCUAAACCACCAACAGCUAUGGCAGAGUUCAAAAUCUCAAAGUCCCGAGAUCUAAGACAGUGAGAGCCGACUGUCGAGAGGCGGAGGCCGGAGAAUAGAGAUUGAGAGUUUGAGACGGAGAGAGCCGGAGAGGAUGUGAGAUCGAGAGUCGAGAGGCGAGAGCACUGAGAUGAUGAGAUCUGGGAGAGUGGGAGUCUAGAUGAUGAGAUGAUGAGAUCUGGGAGUGGGAGUGGAGAAGUGACUGACUACUGAGAACUGAAGUGGAGAAGUAGUAUUAGUAAUUUAGUAUUUAGUAGUAUUAGACUAUUAGUAUUUAGUAGAUAUAAUAUUAUAUAUCUAGUCAAGACUCAGGAGCUCAAGAGUCAGGAAUCAGGAUACUUAGAUAGUAGUAUUAAUAAAUAUAAUAUUAUAAUUUUUUUUUUUAAGUAUUAAGGUUCGGUAUUCGGGAAAUCGAAUAAUCUGUAUUUUGAAAACCGAAACCGAAUAUUGAAUAAUAAUUCGGAUAUAACCGAAAUUGUAAAAAAAACCGAAAAAUUGAAAUAAUUCGAUUAAAAAAAUUUAGUUCGGUUCGGUAAUUCGAUUUUAUUCGUUUUUUGUUGCUCAUGAUGAGAUUUCUUUUGGUUUAUACCGGGCAUUUAAUGUGAGGGAGACAAAUGGUGGUAUGGAUGGGAAGAGAUUCGGUCAUCUUUAAUAUUGUGGAUGAAAAUGUGAGCAGAAUUGGGUUCAUGGAAGAAAUUAAAAAGGUAAGGGUAAAAAGGGAAGUAAAAAGACUUCAAAAUUAUGCUAACACAAAAAAAGGUUACUUUUUCUUCCUACAUUACAUAGAAGGAAACUAAUCAAACCCUAACCCUGCCAAGUUUAAAAGAUUAGAUCCAUUAGUCGGGACCGGACAAAAUUGUAAGGCAUUUUCAAAUUAGGACCUCAGUUUGGAGGAAUAUGAAAGAAUACAAAUGAAAAUAAAUUUCAUAAUCAACUUAAAAAAUCUUUCCAUUACAAUGUCAAUAAUACUCCCUAGUCCCUCCGUCCUCAAAAGAAAGAGUAAAUAUACAAUUUUUUUGUCCACAUUUUGUGGUACAUAAAGUGAUAUAUGUCAUUUAAUGCAAUCUACUAAUAUAAAAAAUAAAAUACUCAUCACGUUAUGCCUUCUUGAUUCGGUGUACGAUCUCUUAAAGAUAAAUUUGAAAUUUUUUCUCUCUUUCCUCUACUAUUUUCUUAACAUGUAUGAAAUAUAUACUUUUGAGGAAGGACGGAGGGAGUAAUUUGAUAUGAACCAUGUUCAAUUUCACAACUGAAAACCUGUCAAGAAGCUUAGAACUGAAUCUAAAAUAUUUAGGGUUAAUUAUUUUAAACAUGUCACUGUUUCUGACAGUUUUAGAGGCGGAAGAUGUUUGGGCAACACGUGAUACUUGCUGAUAAUCCUAUGAGCAUAUACCAAACGGCAAUGUUUAACAUAAACUUAACUUUGGUCAAUUGAUUAAUACAAUAUCGACAUCCAGAUUGGGAGGUGAUCUCACUGUCUGCAUGUCAACACUGUAUUGAUCAAUUGACCAACCUACAAUGAAGUUAACUUCAUAAUAACCGGAUCCAUGCCAAAUAUUGGCAAAACAGGAUAUCCAUCCCUCUAGUCAAUAAUGAUUUCUGCUUGAAUGAGAGAAGUUAACCGGGAUUCUAUAUGUUGCGUUCCUUCUCUAAGGAUCUCAUAGCCGCAAUCCCAAUCCCAUGUACUACACCAAAUUGCAACUCCUUGUACCUUUGGUUAUCCAUUCUUCUCGACAUGCAGGAACUUCUUUCAGCUCCACAAAGACCUUUCUCGAACUGAUAUUUGGCCACGAGUUCAACAAUUUCCAUGGGCAUCUCAUCUGGCCUUUUCUGUUCAAACAUCUUUUCAUAUCUUUUUCCAGUACAUGUCCUUUGUUGGGUCAUGAUAUUUCUCCUAUCGGGCCUUAUGGAUUGAGCUUAUUUAUUUAAUUAGUCCAUUAGGUUUCCACUAUUGGGCCUUAAAGUUAUUGGGCCUAAUCCUUACAUUAUAUCUCCUUAAUAUUGGGUCGGGUCAAUGGGUUGAUCCAUUAGAUCUUUUAAUAUCUAAGUCUUUGACUUGUAAUGAUGAAAAAGGAAGGCUGUUGACUAAAAGUCUGCAGAUCAUUAAUGUGGAUGGGAUUUUAUCCGGCCGGCGACAUGUACAGUAGGGAAAAAAGGUGACAACCUGCAUGCAUCCGGCUGAGAUCAGGGAAAGGUAGGGGGCUGUGUCAGAUAAGAGAUGGUGGCACGGUAAACCAGGCAAGAGAGUAUAACCUAGCAAGAAAAUCUCCAAGAAAAGGUACGCAUACACACAACACACAAUUCUGAUCUCUCUAGCACUAGACAUUUUAUCCUCCAUUGUUAACCCUUGUAACGGCCUGUACUGACUCUCACGCCUGAGCUAUACCCCGACGGUCCAGCCGUCAAGCUUUUGGUGUUGACUGUGUUUACUGUGCAGGAUCAGGGCGUCUUACAUGAUUGGGACGUGGCAAAAGAUCUUGGCGUUAACAUUGGCGCUAGAAGGAGGGGUGAGUUCUAGUGUUCAAGAGUUGGCAAUCACAAAUAUUUAUUUGUUCUACGUUUUCAAAGAUGGGGAAGAGUAGAGCAGAUACACCUGAGGGACAGCCGAUUGCUGUCAGUGAAUUAGCACCACGAGUUUCUGUUAAAGAUCGUUUGGGACCUGCAUUAAGUGUUCAUGCCAACACAGCGUCCAAACGUUCGCAUGGAGAUUCUCGUCCAAGGGCUGUGAGCAAAGCUAAGAGAAAGCUAGUCUUCACAGCGGAGAAAGAGUCUGGUCACGGUCAGAAACGAGUAGAAGGCACCUCGCCUAAAGCUCGAUACCGAGAUGACCAGGACGAAAAGGCCUCCCGGUUGGCUAAGAUGGCAGAUGAAGCAGAUAGGGCCAUGGAGGCACUUAUGAAACAACGGCAGGAUAUAGCUGAGCAGAUGUCCAGGAUGGCAGAGUUGAGGGAUGAAGAGUCCAGUUAUGUUCAGUUCGAAGAGCGUGGGCAUCGAAGUGGGAAGGAGCCGGCUCAUUCAGGACGUGAGUCUCGGGGCCAGCAUCGCGAAAGAAGAAGAUCGAGAAGUCCUACUCCUCAAAGAUCGAAGAGGGCACAUCACCCUAUCGAUUCUAAGGAGCAUGAUCGAGAUGAACGAAGAGGCCGAUCCAGGGAACGCACUCCGGAGAAUACAAAGAAAGCGAUCAUUGUUGAGCAUUCUCAUCACAGCCACAGAACCCAAAGACGAAGCAGAUCUAGGGGCCCUACACCAGAAAGUCCACCGGGGGCACGUCGCUCUGUGGACCAUCAUCACCGUAAAAGUCCCUCGAAAAUUGGGGGUUCUAUGGUAAAAGAUCGAUCCAUUCGGAAGAAGAAAGACUCCCUAGAGAAAGAAGCGACGUCUCAACCGGAGGGGGUAGAUUAUUUAGUUAAAGAAUUGAAAGAGCUCCGAAAAUAGUUAGCUGAGGUUUAACAGGUGAAGGAUACUCCGGGAAAGAAGGCGUCCCCAUUUUCUUCGGAUAUUCUUAAAGAGAAGGCAGACACCACCAAGAAGUUGCCUCACAUGGAGAGUUACGAUGGGUCUGGAGACCCUUAUGACCAUAGCCAGGCAUUUGACCAGCUGAUGGACUAUUAUGAUUUUACCGAUGCUGCUAAAUGCCAUACGUUCGUUACAACGUUAAGGAAGGAUGCAAGACAGUGGAUGGGGACUCUACCGGCAGAUUCAGUGUCUUCCUGGUCCGAGCUGUGUGACAAAUUCCAUGCCCGUUUCGGGAGCAACCGAAUAAGAGGGAAGCCCACAGGUUCACUAGCACAGGUUAGACAAUUCACCGAUGAGUCUUUAGGUCAGUACGUGAAGAGGUUCAGGGAAGCAGUCGGCCAGGUGUCGGACCUCAACGAUCUGCAGGCUGUAGGUUUAUUUCAGAACGGGCUGGAUCUGGUAAAGUCUGAAAAGUUGGUGAAGAAGCUGAUGUUUCACCAUCCGAAGAGUUUGGCAGAAGCCUUCGAUAAGGCAGAAGGUUAUAUCGUGGUGGAGGAGGCCAUGAAUAGCCUUAAACGACCUUCCUCAGACCGAACAAGGGAGGCCGAUACUCCCAAGACCGAGAGCGAUCAUAAGAAGGUGGGGGGGUAUAAUGAUCGGUCAGAGGGCAGCUCGAAGAAGUACAAUAACAUAUGGCGACAAGGAAAUAAUCGCCCACCUGCUUCUGCCCCGAAGGUGAAUAAGGUCUACACCAAGCUGAAUACAGAAAGGUCAGUAAUUUUGGAUCAGAUCAGGGGCGAGCCGUUCUUCGAACCACCUCGUGAUAACUGCAAGCCAGGACAAGGCAAUACUCAGAAAUAUUGUGGCUAUCAUCAAGCUACGGGUCACGAUACUAACGAGUGCUGUAAUUUGAAAGAUUUUAUGGAGAGGAAGGUUCAAAGUGGUGUGCUGGUCCAAUACGUGGCCAGAAGAGACCAGCCGAAUGUAGACCGUACCGUUCAGACAGUUCAAACAGCUCCCCCCGUACAACCUCCUCCAAAUCAGCCACCAAGGCACGUUGUUGAUGUAAUAACCGGGGGGACAGCAGGGAAGUUGGUAGGAAAGAAGAGAAGGGGAUAUCUAGAUUCAGUCAUGUUCGUGGCAGGUGUUCCCCCGAAGAUCGAUAGACCGUUUCCAGGAACUGUUAUAUCCUUCACCGAUGCAGAUUACCCUUCAGAACCCAUCGAACCCCAUGAAGGAGCACUAGUGAUCACUGCACAAGUGGGUUCGGUAGAUGUGAAACGUAUGAUGAUAGAUAACGGGUCUUCAGUGGAUAUUCUGUAUGCCCGUGCCUAUCAGAGGAUGCAUCUUGAUGGGCGAAAGAUGGAGGUUGGGCAAGAGGCUCCCCUAUAUGGCUUCAGCAAUGAUCCAGUCAGAGUGGCAGGGACUAUUGAGCUACCGGUCAUCUUCGGUACUGCUCCACAACAGGUAGAAAUAACAUGUAAAUUUUAUGUUGUGCAUGUAGAUUCUGCCUACAACACCAUACUGGGAAGACCUACCUUGACUGCUCUCCAAGCAGUGACUUCCAUCCCUCAUUUCAAAAUCAAAUUCCCUACGGUACAUGGAGUGGGAGAGGUAGCAGGGGAUUUGGAUCUGGUCCGACGCUGUUAUCGGAAUGCUGUCAUUUCCUCGGGAGUAGGGGUCAGCAAGCAGAAGCAAACCAUGGCAAUUGAGAUCGAGCCCUUUACUGAAAGCAGUUUGGAGUCAUUGGUUAUUCCUACAGGGGAGACAGAGGAGAUCGAGCUGGUCCUUGAAAAGAAAGACAAGACAAUGAAGAUUGGUUCAGGUUUGCCGGAACCUCUCCGGACAAAUCUUAUAGAGCUUCUUCGCUGUUAUGCAGACAUCUUUGCAUGGGAACCACAGGAUAUGCCUGGGAUUAGUCGAAAGAUUGCCGAACAUCGGUUGGAUGUGGAUCCGUCGAAGAAGCCAGUUCGGCAGAAAAGGCGGAUCUUUGCACCUGAACGUCAAAGGAUCAUUGAUAAGGAGAUCGCGAAGCUGAUAGCCGCUGACUUCAUCUUCGAGAUCGACUAUCCGGAAUGGAUGGCAAAUGUAGUGCUGGUGUAGAAGCAGAAUGGGAAAUGGAGAGUCUGCAUUGACUACACAGAUCUGAACAAAGCAUGCCCAAAGGACUUCUAUCCUUUACCCCAUAUUGACCAACUUAUUGAUGCGACUUCGGGGUAUGCACUACUAAGCUUUAUGGAUGCUUUUUCAGGUUAUCAUCAAAUUUCUAUGUGCAAGGAGGACAUCCCAAAGAGAGCAUCAUCACACACCGAUCGGUGUACGCCUAUAAGAAGAUGACCUUCGGCCUGAUAAAUGUUGGAGCCACCUAUCAGAGGAUGAUGAACUUUGUCUUCCAGAAGCAGCUGGGAAAGAACAUGGAAGUGUACGUGGAUGACAUGAUCGUAAAGAGCACGAUGGUUCAGAAGCAUUUGGAUGAUCUGGAGGAAUGCUUUCAAACAGUCUGCCAUCACAAAUUGAGGCUCAAUCCUAUAAAGUGUACCUUCGGGCUCAGUGCGGGGAUGUUUCUGGGCUACCUGGUCAGUCAAAGAGGCAUUGAGGCCAAUCCGAAAAAGAUCCAGGCCAUUCUAGACAUGAAGACUCCUCAGUCGUUCAAAGAAGUUCAACGUCUGACUGGUCGGAUUGCAGCUUUGAGGAGGUUCAUGUCCAAAUCCGCAGAGAGAUGCUUACCAUUCUUCGACACACUGAAGGGACCAAAGAAUGCGAAGACAUUCCAGUGGACUUCGGAGUGUGAAGACGCCUUCCAAGGCAUAAAUACAUAUCUGUCUUCGGCUCCUUUAUUGAUGAAACCUGCCCCAGUUGAGACUUUGUAUUUAUAUCUGCCAGCUAGUUCAUUGGUAGUUGGAGCAAUACUGGUUCGGGAAGUCAGUGGGAAGCAGCAUCCAGUCUAUUAUGUCAGCCAUGUCCUAAGAGAUGCUGAAACCAGGUACCCCAAUAUAGAAAAAUUUGCCUUUGCUUUAAUAAUUGCUAGUCGAAAGCUUCGGCAAUAUUUUCAAGGACGGCUCCUGGUCGUCUACACGGAUCAACCAUUGAAGAAGGUGAUGAGCAAACCAGAAGUCUCAGGGAGAUUAGCAGCAUGGACUAUGGAAUUAUCACAAUUUUUUAUUAAAUAUCAUCCCAGAACUGCUAUCAAAGGUCAAGCCUUGGCCGAUUUCAUGGUAGAAUGUUCGUUCUCCGAAGCAGACGCUGGGCUGCCAGAAGCUGAGACGUCCGAUCGAGUGGUUGCAAUUCUUCAGCAUGGUCAGAAUGCAUGGACGUUGUAUGCAGAUGGGUCCUCUACGGUGAAUGUUAGUGGGGCAGGGAUUAUCUUGACAAGUCCGGAGGGAUUCAAGGUGCAGCAAGCAAUCAGAUUUGGGUUCAAAGCAACAAAUAACGAGGCUGAGUAUGAAGCAGUGCUAGCAGGAGUUCGACUGGCGAAGAGUCUAGAAGUCCAGAAGCUGAUCAUUUACAGUGACUCUCAGUUGGUCGUCAAACAACUGUCGGGAGAUUAUGAAGCUCGUGGGACCAGAAUGAUCAAGUAUCUGGCAGAAUUAAAAGACCGACUUCAGUACUUUGUUUCUUAUGAGUUUCAGGGCAUAGAGCGUAACGACAAUUCCAUUGUCGAUGCACUGUCGAAACUAGCCACUACGGAUGCAGAUGUUUUCAACGGAUCGGUUUAUUUAAAUGUUUUACAGCAGCCGAGUAUCCAACAUGAAGCGGUGAUGUGUAUUGAACGAUCUAACUGCUGGACUCCCUACAUCGAAUAUUUGGCAGAUGGCAUCCUUCCUUCGGAUCAGAUGCUGGCAAAGAAGAUCAAGUACAAGAGUGCCAACUUCUUUCUUAUUGAUGGGGAUCUUUAUCGAAGGGCAUUUUCGUCAACAUUAUUGAAGUGUCUGGUUCCGUCUGAAGCUGAGUAUGCUCUUCGGGAAGUCCACGAGGGUAUUUGCGGUGAUCAUAUGGCUGCCAAGUCUUUGGCUUAUAAAGUACUUCGACAGGAAUACUAUUGGCCUACAAUUUUCAAGGAAGCUACAGAGUAUGUCAAGAAGUGUGAAAAAUGUCAGCUCAACAGUCCGAUCCCACAUCAGCCACCAGAAGAGCUAUACUCGAUUUUAUCUCCUAUACCCUUUGCUGUCUGGGGGGUUGAUAUAUUGGGUCCGUUGCCGAAAGCAAAAGGUCAAGUCAUUUUUGUCAUAGUUGCUAUUAAUUACAUGACCAAGUGGGUAGAGGCGAAGCCACUUCAGUUGAUAACGGAGCAAGAGUGCUUGAAAUUCAUGAAAGAGUCCGUAAUAUUUUGCUUCGGAAUUCCUAAAGUGGUGAUAUCGGACAAUGGACGCCAGUUCGUGGGAUCUAAAUUUGAAGGAUUUUUAAAGAAGCUGGGGGUUCAGCAUAAGAAGACUUCGGUGGCUCAUCCACAGUCAAACAGGCAAGUUGAGGUGACAAACAGAACACUGCUGAAUGGGAUCAAGCGCGGACUAGACGAAGCUAAAGGAAGAUGGCCAGAGGAGCUGCUCAGUGUACUAUGGGUUUAUCGGACCACACCGAGGACUACCACCGGGGAUUCGCCUUUUCGAUUGGCCUAUGGCACUGAUGCCUUAGUCCCAGUCGAAAUUAGAUCUCCAAGUCUUCGGGUCAGUCAAUUCAAAGAGAUCUACAACGACGAAGGGAUGAAGGCCAACUUGGAUCUGUUAGAAGAAGUCAGAGAAGUGGCUUUGGUCAAGCUGGCAGCCUACCAGCGAAGAGUAGCUAAACAUUACAACAAGGGAGUCAAGCUUCGCAGAUUUAAAGUAGGGGACUUUGUCCUCAAAGAAGCUGAAGCAUUUACGCCUCAAAACACGGGAAAGCUGAUGCCGAACUGGGAAGGACCGUAUGAGGUGGUCGACGUACCAAAGCCAGGGACUUAUCGAUUAAAGGCAUUAGAUGGGUCCGAGAUCAAGAACACUUGGCAUGCUGGAAGACUUCGAAAAUAUUUCCAAUAGAGAUCGAGUCAGUUUACCGGAAGUCUGUAUAUGAUUGUUCAAUAUCAAUAAAAAUUCACCUUUUCACAACUGAUCUUCUUCCUAUUUGUACUAAGUUCACAAUGGUGUAAGGAGGUAUGGUCAGACUCGCUGGCCAUUCGAUGGUAGCCUAUUUAUUUGUUACCCCGUGUGGUAGACAAAUCCUAUGGUCCUUUUUAUAUUGCUUUUACCAAGGGAGGUAAAUCAAUAGGCACCGAAGUAAGGAGGAUGGGGUGGACUCGCUGACCAUUCGAUGGUAGCCUCUUCGGCAGGAGUGUCCUUAUGGUUUUGUUAUACCCUGCGUGGUAGACAAAUUCCAUGAUCCUUUUUAAUUUUGAUUUACCGCGAGUGGUAAACAAAAGACACUGAAGUAAGGAGGUAUGGUCGGACUUGCUAACCAUUCGAUGGCAGCCUUAUUGUCAGGAGUGUCCUUAUGAAUUUGUUACCCCGUGUGGUAGACAAAUUCCAUGGCCCUUAUAAAAUUGUUCUACCCCGAGUGGUAAACAAAUGUCCUUAUAUACUUGUUCUACCCCGAGUGGUAAACAAAUGUCCUUAUAUACUUGUUCUACCCCGAGUGGUAAACAAAUGUCCUUAUAUACUUGUUCUACCCCGAACGGUAAACGAGAUCUUGAUGGUGCAAGGAGGAUCAGCCGAAUUCACCUUAUACACAACCUGCCUCACACUUCGGAAACGAUAAGUAUGCAUUACUUUAUUUUGUUCAAGUGUUGAGUUCGGUUCAUUCAGUUCAGCUCAUUGAGUUCAGUUCAUUUCAUUCCUCAACUUAACUAUUAUAUGCCUUAUCUGAUUCAUAGUCUGAGUUAAGUUCAUUCAAGAUCAUAACAGCUGAAUUAUUGACAAGAAACGAAGUAAACAGAAGUCAUGGUAAAGAAAAUUGAAAUUUCAUUAACACUUAAACAAGUUCACUUAAAUUUCUUUACAGACAAAAUUUUUAAAACAAAUCUGAUAACAACAAAAGACAGAGAUCCUAAAAACUAAAACGAAAUAACAUCAGACUCAGGCUGCACCCUCAUUCUCGGAGUCAAGAAGGGCUGGGUCCAGUUGAGCUGCAACCAGCUUUUCCUUGCCUCGACCUCGGCAAUCUUCAUAUCCUUCGUUGUAUACCUUCAAAAUUUCUGCGCCAAGCUCAUCGGACGUACGAUAGUCCGCCUGUAUCUGCUUACGCAACUCGUCGGUCAAAGGAGGAUCUCGCUCUUUAAGCACUCUUAUUUUUCUAUGAAGUUUACGAUGUUUGGCCUUAUGUGUUUUCCUAUCAUCCCGAGCCUUCGUCUGAACUUCGUCGAGUUGUGUUGACAAUUUUUGAUUGGCUGCAGCAAGCCCCUCAUUGUUAUUCUUCAGAGCUUCGGUCUCUGCAACAAAGCGGACAUUCAUGUUGGCCAAUUUUUGUUCGCUGGCUUUUGUUGUCUUCAAUUCUUCUCUAACUGAGAUCAGCACAUCAUGAGUUCCCCUCAGAUCUUCUUUGUUUUGUACCAAUUCCCUAUGAAGGCCUUCAUUGGCAUGAAGAAUGGCUUUGCGUUCAUCUCUCUCCCGAGCCAAUGAAGCCUUCAACAUGUUGUUCUCCCUUCUCAUGGUCUCCUCGUCAGACUCGACAUUUAUGUGUCUGGGACGUAAACGCCCGAAGACUGCAUUGGCCUGCACAUAUUCAACAAUAUCCAGUCAAUUUCAGAUACUUAAAACAGGAAAAGAGAUGUUUAACCAAGGAAACUGUCACUUACCUUUGCCAAAUAACUCAUGCCUUCAUCAAGAAAAUUCUCGUUCGUAUGGCUAUUAAAUCGAUGAUUGUCAGUUUCCUGAACGAAGGCAUCAAAGAGCCGGAAAGGAAAAUUUACGUUGAACCGAGGCCACAGGGUCGGUGCUCCGGUAGCCUCGUCAUGGAAUUUUUGUGAUGAAGGCCUCGGGGGGGAAGGCAUAGGUUGGUCACGAAUGGGAGAAGGGUCCGUGUAUAUAUUUUCGGGGGAGGGAGAUCGAGCUGGAGUAGGGUCGCGGACUGGUGAAGGUACAGAUUUCGAGCUUGGAUGACUGUCAGAUGGUUGUUUUCUUUUCCGAGAUGGUGUUAAAGUGGUCUCAAUUCGUUCCCUUUCAUCAACAGAUUGAGUAUUCACUAGAGUUGUUGGGGGAAAAACUUUGGAAGGAGGUAUCCUAAGCUCAUCGGGGGUUAAAGGGGUAAUUUUGGUUUUCAUCUUUUUUAUCCGAAGGAGUUGUCUUCGAUCAUCUGCAGGUAGAUCUAAUAAACUUCUUCGAGAUGAUACUAGGUUGACAAUUGGUGGCAUUGGGUUGACAAUUGGUGGUAUCGGGUCGAUAGGUGGUGGUGUUGGGAUGACAAUUGGUGAUAUCGGGUCGAUUGUUGGUGGCGUUGGGUUGACAAUUGGUGGUAUCGAGUCGAUAAUUGGUGGUACUAGAUUGACAAUGGGUGGUAUCGGGUCGAUAAUUGGUUCAGAUUCAAAAAGGGUUUCAGAAUCUGAUGGUAUAGAGAUCAGUUUGGGCUUUCGAGUAGCUCUUUUCUUUCUACGAAGCUUAAGGACUACUUCCGGAAGAAUGGGUUCAUCAGCUUCUAGCCUAUGAAGUAAGGGUUCGGAUAUGGGUGAUUCAGUAGGUGGUUUGAGUUUAGAGGUGGUCUCCGGUUGGGAAGGGUCAGCAUCGACCUCUGCAAAUUUCCCGGCUAGAUUAUCUUCAAAAGGGAUCUCCUGUUGGGAGGAUUCGGCAGUGGCUUCUACGGACUUUCCAGCUAGAAAAUCCUCCAACUCCUUCACCUCCGAAGACGAUGGUUUGAUCAAAGUUACUACAGAAGAUUAACAGUUUUACAUCAAAAUCCAUUUUACAGCGAUUUUCAAAAUAUUGAUAAAGUAAAUCCAUACUUACAUUUGUGGUCGUAUAACCACGCUUGGUUAAAAAGAAGUCCAUAUUUCCAUUCUUCCUUUGGGAAGUUGUCAAAUAGUUCCAUCAUUUCGGCCUCGCGUUCUUCGGACUCCAAAAUCGGCAGAAAUCUUCUCAUCAGUGGCCCAGUUCGGUAAGGAGGAAAUUUCAGGUCCCUUGACGUAAAACCAUUUUUCAUGCCACCCUCUAUUGCUCGAAGGAGUGUUCACCAAUGAACGUUUUUCAAAUUUCUCUCCUGUUCUCGAUGCCUGAUUACUUAUAACUUUGAAUCCUUUUUCGCGAGAUUGACCAAUUUUAUAAACAGUAAAAAACAAGUCAAGAGUGGGUUCGACUCCGACUUCAUGACAGAAUGCAAUGAAGGCCAGAAUGUGAAUAUAAGAAUUUGGCGCUAAUUGGGAGAACCCAACGCCGACGAACUCUAGAAUGGUCAUCAGAAACGGGUGUAGAGGGAACCUAAUUCCUUUCUCGAGAAUUAUCACCUGGAUAGCCGUCCAUCCUUCAGGCCUUUGAUACAUUCUUUCCUCAGACCUAGGAACUCUUACCAGAUGAGUAUCCGAAAUAUGGCAUCGAUCUCGAAGCUUUAGUAAUUCAAUUUCGGUGACAGUAGAUGCAGUAUUCGCAUGGGUAAACAUUUCCUUGCUUAUAAAGAAUUCAGAAGGAGUGGGUCGAGGUUUCGAGAGUACUUUCUUCUUGCUAGGGGUAGCGAUUGGAGGGUUGGAGCUCGAAGCCUCUGUAUUGGGGUUAGGUUGAACAGUCGUGAGGGGGACUGCCUUGAUUGGGGAAGUCUGGUUUGUACUAAUGACCACCAUUGUUAAUGAUUUGAAGAGAGGAGAAAGAAGGCUCGAGAGGUAAAAAGAAGGCUCAAAGGUCCGAAAUUCAAAUUGACAGGUAAAACUGUCAUAUUUGGUAAAGUUUAUCUUUUAUACUGACGGUUACACAAUAUUCGAGGGCGGCACAUUUAAUUGAUAAUCAUGAUCACGAAUUCGAAAGGUUGCGUCCAGAUUGAGUUUUAAACAUUUAGCAGGUUGGGCCCUUCAAUUGGGCUUCCGGUUUUAAUCCACCUUUUCAGUUUAUUUUUAUGCUUAACCGGUUGGGCUUUGGUAAAUCUCAUCUUGGGCUUAUUUCAAUCCUAUCAAACCCAAUAAAGUCAUGAACCACUUAUAGUUUUCCAUUAAAUAUCCUAUUUGACAGAAAACUAGGGGGCAAUGUUGGGUCAUGAUAUUUCUCCUAUCGGGCCUUAUGGAUUGGGCUUAUUUAUUUAAUUAGUCCAUUAGGUCUCCACUAUUGGGUCUUAAAGUUAUUGGGCCUAAUCCUUACAUUGUAUCUCCUUAAUAUUGGGCCGGCUCAAUGGGUUGAUCCAUUAGAUCUUUUAAUAUCUAAGUCUUUGACUUGUAAUGAUGAAAAAGGAAGGUUGUUGACCAAAAGUCUGCAGAUCAUUAAUGUGGAUGAGAUUUUAUCCGGCCGGCGACAUGUACAGUAGGGAAAAAAGGUGACAACCUGCAUGCAUCCGGCUGAGAUCAGGGAGAGGUAGGGGGCUGUGUCAGAUAAGAGUUGGUGGCACGGUAAACCAGGUAAGAGAGUAUAACAUAGCAAGAAAAUCUCCAAGAAAAGGUACGCAUACACACAACACACAAUUCUGAUCUCUCUAGCACUAGACAUUUUAUCCUCCAUUGUUAACCCUUGUAACCGCCUGUACUGACUCUCACGCCUGAGCUAUCCCACGACGAUCUAGCCGUUAAGCUUUUGGUGUUGACUGUGUUUACUGUGCAGGAUCAAGGCGUCUUACGUGAUUGGGACGUGACAAAAGAUUUUGGCGUUAACAUCCUUCAAAUUCAAAGGCUUUCUUGUUGUUGUUGCAUCAGAGAGGUAAAUCCGGAAACAACAUUAAAAUUUCUUCAUCAACUAGUUCACCUUUUAAAUAUCAACCAUAAGUUGGAUGAAAGAUGAGAAUCAUAAAGUGAUAGUAACACUAAAAAGCUUUCUCAUAUGCAGAGUCUUUACAUUUUCAAAUAUUUGCAUAAAUGGUGCAUAAAGUGUACAAAUAAUAUGACUGAAUAAAUAUAAAAAGCCACCAACAAGCAAACAUAUCAGACCUCAGGAAUGUCCAUAUUACAUGUGAAAUGAUCAGAAACAAUGCGAGUUGGGAAUGACUGAAAAAUAAAAAAAUGUAAAUUGAGAAACCGAAUACUGAAGCAGCAAUUAUAGUACACCAUAGUGUUCAAAAAAUCGGCCGAUUAAAGCUUUGAUUUAGUCGUUGGUCGACUUAGUCGGGCUCCAGUUGGCAACUAGUCGGUAAAGUCGCCCAAUCAAAAUAAAUCAAAAAUUCGGAAUAAGUCGGGGAAAAUCAAAAAAAAUGGGAACGAAUGAGGUCCUUGUACCUAGAAGAAGUAGAAAUGUGCAAGAACUAGAUGAAGACAAAUUUAUGUCAGAAGAUGAUGACAACGAAGAGGAAGACGAGGGUUAUGAGUUUGAAUCCGAUAAAGAGCAAGUCUUUGAGAGAUAUGAAGUUGACUACUGAUUUUGUGCUACUUAGUCAUUUAGUUAAUUGAUUUUGAACUUAGAGCGUCGAACUAUUUGGUUUUACUUAAUUUCCAUGUUUUUAUUUGAUGAUUUGUUCUAUUUAUGUCUACUUACUCAAAACUUAUGAAGGAUGAAGAAGAAUCUAUAUUUAAAAAAAAAAAUUAAAAAUUCAACUAGCCGAUUAAUCCCCUAGUCUCUAAUCGGCAGCCAACCGACCUAGGACCCGACUAACAACUUUUAGAACACUAGUACACCAUUAAAUGAAUUGAAUUGAUUCUGAAAUCACAGGUAAAGGAAUAUUUAUGAAAACAAAGAGAAACUUAAUACAGAAAUUUAAAUUUGUUGAUAUCAUAAAUUGCAUGUCCUAAUUCGAAACUCAUUAUCAAAAACAUUUGAAAAAGAGGCUUCACUUAUACACUGUUAAGUUCUCGCCAUUAUAGGAGGGGUGAGUUGCUUUUUGAGAGUGCAAAAUUGAAAUGCCAUGAACAACUUUUUUUCUGAGUAGCUCCUACAAAAGAGAAAAUGUUAAGAUCAAUAAUGUAAUGGAGAAAAUACCUAAAGAAAAGAAAAUAAGGCAAUGAAGAGAAAUGAAACGACAAUGAAGUGAACCAUCUGCUUUUUAUCAAGUCUUUCUGAUGCAUGUUGUUACAGCUUGAGUUUUUACAAGGAUAGAGAACUUAAAAAAAAGUAUAUUAUAAUAUUAAAUAACCAUCCAUGAUUACGAUAAAAACUCACAAAAUCUUUUUAUCUAUUAAUAUCUCACAUAUUGGCUGCAGCCAUACCAUUGUCGUAGUUUGAUGUCAUCUGUUCAAAAUUAUAUGAUCGUUAUAUACUUUCGAAAGCCAAUUUAAGACAUUUUUAAACUCAAAAUUAAAAUGAUACAUUAAAAAUUAUGAACCAAUAAAACUUACAAUAAGUAAUACUUUUUAGAUAGUUUACAAUAUUCAUAAUUGUAUUGAUUAAAAUUAAAAGACUCUACGUCAAUUUUGAGUUUAAAAACAAAUUAAAAAAAAAUUCAAGAGGGGAUGGAUUAUCUCUAUAUCAAUGGUGGACUUAUUAGACUUAAUUAAAAUCUUUUCAAAUGAGGAUGGAUCAUCUCAAUAUCAAUGGUGGACUAGAGAAAUAUGCUCCCAAACAGUACCCAUAAAAGAUUAGAAUGCAAUAAAAAUUAGGAUAUGUAACACAAUAUCCAAAAUUAACAAUAAAACAAAACAUACCUCAUAUCACAAAUUUUAAACUAAGCCAAACAUGCUUGUGACUCUGUCCCAUCACCCUCUAUACAAUUCCCAGAUAGUCAAUUUCUUCUCCAAACCCGCCUUUCCUUCCUCAAAAAACUCCAGAAAACGAUACCACAAAACCAGUACCAAUACGCAGCAAAAAAUCUCACCACAACAGUCUUCAAAUCUCGUCAAAUCAUCAAAAAAUCCAAAACAUUAGAAAUGUCCGACCAAGAAGACCCAGUGAAUCACUUCUAUAAGCCUCUACCUUUGGCCUGAUUCCCCCAAAGAUGAUGACCCAACCGCUGUGGCCGGUUCCCUCCACCCCAUCCCCUGUAUUCCAGGGAAAUUUACAUGGUGGGAUUCGUGAUAGUGCAUAUAGUGGAAUUCAGUACUGCUCACUGCCCGGGAAAUGGUGGGUCUAAUUUGUGAUCCCUUAAACCCACAUGACCCAAAUGAAAUCAAAGUUUCCUUGUCAAAUUCACAUAUUUGCAGGCCCCAAGGGUUUUUGAUGGUGAAAUCUUUAAUUUACGGAGGUGGGUUGCAAUUAAUUGCUCAUGAUGAGACUUCUUUUGGUUUUAUCCCGGGCAGUUAAUGUGAGGGAGACAAAUGGUGGUAUGGAUGGGAAGAGAUUCGGUCAUCUUUAAUCUUGUGGAUGAAAAUGUGAGCAGAAUGGGGUUCAUGGAAGUAAUGGAGCCGCCGAAGGAAGGAUGGUCUGGCAUGAUUGGUUAGGAGGGAAAAUUCUUGUGAUCUGCCACCUUUUUGGGUGGAGUUUUGAAAAAUUACCAUACUGAUCAACAUCCAUCCGAGGAGAGGAAAACCCUGGAACAAGAUCAAAAUUUAAAUCAUAAACUAGUAAACCUUUGAAUUUCAACCAUAAGCUGGAUGAAUGAAAAGAACCAGAAAGUGAUAUAGACAUAACACUGAAAAGUUCAGAUAUACGCAGUCUUUACAUCCGAUAUAUUUGCAUAAAUGGUGCAUAAAGUGAACAAAUAAUAUUAGUAAAUAAGUAAAAAAAAUCGCCAACAACAAACAUAUCAUAAAUCAGAGGAUUCGAUAUAUUACAUGUGAAAUAAUGAAAAACAUUGUGAGUAGGGAAUGACUAAUAAAUAAAAUAAUGUAAAUUGUUUGAAGACUGAAUCAGCAAUUAUAGUACAUACUUAAUUGAAUUGAAAAUAUCAUUAUCUUUUGAAUUCACACAUGAUUCUUUACUUUAUGAAAACAAAGAGAAACUUAACAUAAAAAUUUAAAUUUGUUGAUAUCAGAAAUUGUGUGUCCUAAUCCAAAACAGAUUAUAGAAACAUGUGAAUAGGGGCUUCACUAAUACAUUGUGACUUUAAGUUCUCACCAUUAUAAGGAGGGAUGAGUUGGAAAAGUUGAAAUGCCAUGAACAACAAUCUUUCUAAGAGUAGCUCCUACAAAAGAGAACAUUUUAAGAUCAAUAAAGAAAUGGAAGAUAUACCAAAAGAAAGAAGAAAGUUACAGCACUGAAGGGAAAGAAAAAGACAAUGAAGUUGAACACGUGCCUUCAUCUUUUAUCAAAGUUUUUCUUAUGCAUGUUGUUACAGCUUGAGUUUAUACAAGAAUGGAGAAAUUUAUAAAGAUUUGGCAUAUAAUAACUGUCCAGGAUUAUGAUGAAAAUUCACCAAAUCUAUUAAUAUCUAACAUAUUGGCAGUAGCCAUAUCUAUCUUAUUAUGUUUAUUUAGAGGGGAAGUUUACUCUUACUUGCUAUCAGGCGACUAACCAAAUUCUAUUUCUAAAAGACAAAAUGGUGACAGAUAUUAAGAUCUAAAAUUGGUGAAUACAUAUAAAACAGGACAGGAAAACAUACUAACAAGGAGUUCCAUCAAAAAUAUUGUAAUGUCAGCCAACUUAGCGGCACCUUUAGAAUCAAUCAAUAUGUUCCCCAUCUGCAAAGAUUUUAACAUUAGCAGCAGUGAUAAACUAAGAAUUAACAGCAAGUAGCGCAUCUAAAGUGAAGGGCGAAUUGGUUUUUAUCAUGUGAACUGUCAGCAUCUCAGCACUACAGGUCUAACAACAUAGGGACUUUUAGGGACAGGGAAUAAUAUUUUAUAUAAAUGAACCUUUUUUCAACACACAAAAUUUAUUAUACAGAGUCAAUCAGUAAGGCUGUAACAUAUACUUCAAGAUGUGUAGUGACUAUUUUCUUCAUGACGAUCUAAAGUGAUAGUAUUAGUCUGGUGGGAACAAAACCAUUAUUCAUGCAAAAGAACCAGGUGCGGAGAUAAUACCUUCACAUCUCUAUAGGCCUGAAGAUACACAACAUCUUCAAGAAACUCUCGUACUUUCGCAAUGACAGGCACUUCCGAGCCUUUGAGAAAAAUGAAUUCAUAAUGUGAAGGCACAAUCACCCCAGCCAUGUAUGGCAUCACAACUCAAAGGUUGAUCUGUGAAUGAGCGUGCGCCCUAAAUAUACUUGGAUGAUUGAUUAAUCAUGCUCGUCAACUAAACCUUUCAACGGAGACCAACCUAUACAAUUUACAAAGAAAUGCCACUCAAUUGAUAUUUCAGAGCCAAAAUGAAUAGGGUUUCAACAAUAUAGGAUAAGUAUCUGUUGGACCAGCUUGCUGUGAUAAUUGAUAUAGUGCUGCCAGGCUUUUUGUUAUCACUCAGUAUCAUUCAAGUACUUGAAAUAACAACUAUUUUCGAGAAAAUAUUGUCUAUUUACUUGUUUGCAGAAAUUACAAACAAAAAGUGUUCUAAAAGUCCACACCUAGGUGCGCUUAAUCCUCGCCUAGCCGUUAGGUAGGUCCUCUACCAUCUAGAUUUUUUUGGCCACAUAGGCCCCAACCUUGGUGGAAUUAGACCACUACCGCAUCAAUUUACUAGGAAUCUACCUUUUAAAAUAAUAAUUAAAUUCACAAUUGUACAUACAUUGAUGUGCAUGUUUAUAUAAUCUAUUAACCAACUAAACAAAUAUUUUUGAAGCAAUGCGACAAUUAAGCAUACAUCAUAAACAUCCUAAACGGUCCUCCAUCAAUCUUUAGCAGUGUUUUAAAAAUCCCCGCCUAGGUUCGCCUAGGCCCCCCUUGGCGCCUUAGCACCUUGCCCAGGUGCUAGGUCAUCUUGGCGCCUCAGCCAGGAAAUUAGACAAGGCCUAGGCAGGGUCUAGGCGAAGAAAUUUUAUUUUAUUUUAAUAAUUACCCAAACCAGAUCAUGAUAUAUUUAUUUUUCUAAUGAUAUACCAUAUUCAAAUACAGGUUGUAGCAUAUCAAAUUACAACAAGAAGUGAACAAUAUCAAGUCAAAAUGAAUAAUUUUAUUAUAGUUGUAAUUUUUUGAACUUGUACCAACUUCAUAUUAUAUAAAUGAUGAUACAUUUGUAAUAUUUAGUUUAAUUCAAUAUAAUUUUUAAAUUUAUGUUUAGUUUCUUAAGUUUUAAUUGAAUUAAAUUCUUGAAAUUUUAAAUUUUAUUAUUUAAUAACAAUCUUGUUUAUGAAUAAAACUAAUACGUGAAAAAUAUGUUUGAACUUUAAACAAUUGCAUGUUUGUGUUUGAACUUUAACAUUAGCAAUAUGGAUAUGUAUUUGAAUUUUAAGCAUAUGCCUUUAUUAUCUUUAUUAUAGAUUGUUUUGCUUUAUAUUAUUGUUUUGUUUGAAUAAAUGUAAGAUAAAAUAUUAAAAUUGGCUUAAAAUAAAAAAUCUCACCUAGGCCCCCUAGGCUCCUGGCCGCCCAGCCACCCUCCUAGCGUCUUUUAGAACAUUGAUCUUUAGAAUUUAACCUUGAUAAAAUUUAAACAAGCCAACUGAAUAUCAAAGAUUGACUCUACAAACAUGUAUAAAUCGAUCAGAAACAUAUUUGUGCAAUAACUAACAAACAAAAUGAUAUAAAAAAUUUAUAAAAUAUAUAUAUAUAUAUAUAUGUGUGUGUGUGUGUGUGUGUGAAAAUUUAAUGAAAGAUUUAGAUCGCAAAAGUACAAGCCCAACCAGAGAAAACACUGCCCCAAAUGAGAGAAGAUCUAAAGGUGCACGUUAAUCGGAUGUAAAAGAUAGUGCUUGCUCUAGAAAGAAAUAUUAUGUCAUCAUUCAAUAAAUAUAAAUUUCAGCGGAAUACAAUUCAUAUAACUAGGGGAGGAUUUUUUUGGAAAAAAAUAACAAACUUCUUAGUUAAUAAAACAUUCAGCAUUUAUUUUUGCGACAAAAUUUUUGGAAUAUAAAGACUCAUUAACUUGGUACCUUGCUGUUCAAAUCAAAGGUAAUCAUAGCAAGCACUACACAUAACAGCCAAGGAGCUAAAUCAUCCAUAGUUCUUAACAAAGUAAAUUUGGAAUAACCCCUCAAAUCAACUUAUAGAAUUGAGCUAUACGCAAAUAAUGACAAGAUCUAAAGGCAAGUGCCACUUAUUAUUAUUACCAUCAAAUCAAAACUAGCAUCAAUCUCUUCAAAUAAUUAUGUAAUUUCUCAAUGGAAGAACAACAUAGGGGUUAGGGCCAGAAACUUUACUAGGAAUCUAUUUACCUUUUAAAAGUACCAAUUAAUUCCACAAUUUCACAAAUAUUUAUGAGCAUGUUUAUGUAAUCUAUUAAUCAACUAAAAACAGAUCUUGUUAAAGAAAUUUGACAAAUAAGCAUACACAUCCUAAACGAUCCCCAUCAAUCUCUAGAAUUCAAAAUUCAUAAAAUUGAAUCCAUCCAACUGAACAUCGAAAAUUGGCUUUGCAAACAUGUAUAAAUUGAUCAGAAGCAUAAUUGUACAACAGCUACCGAACUCUCGGCUAUAAAUAAUUUACAUAACAAGCGUAUUUUAUUUUAAAAAAUAAUAAUUUAUAGAAAGAUUUAUAUCGAAAAAGCACAAACCAAGGGUGUUGAUUACCAGAGGAAACUCCAUCCCAAAUGAAGGAAGAUCAAAAGGUGCACGCCAGUCGGAUGUAAAAUUUAGUGCUUGCUCUGAAAAAAAAUAUCCUAUCAUCAUUCAAUACAUAAUUCCAAAGGAAUAUAGUUCAUAUAACACCAGAAUUUAGAGAAGGAUUUCUUUCUUAAAAAAAAAGACAACCAACUUCUUAAUUUAAUAAAACAUUCAGCAUUUAUUGGUCACAACAAAAUUUUAGAAUACAACGACUCACUAACUUGGUACCCUGCUGUUCAAAUCAAAGGUAAUUAUAACAAACACUACACAUUACGGCAAUGAAUCAUCCUUAGUUCUUCACAAAGUAAAUUUGGAAAGACCACUCAAAUCAAAUUACAGAUUGUUUACUAUGAUGAAAUAAUAAGAUUUAAAGGAAAGUGCCAAUUAUUAAUGUUACCAUCAAACUAGCAUCAAACUCGACAAAUAAUUGUGAAAUUUCUAAAUGGAAGCAAAAAAAUGAUUAGGGCAAGCAAAUUUACUUGGAAAUUUUCUUUUAAAGUAACAAUCAAAUCUACAUAUUCACAAACAUUUACCAGCAUGUUUAUAUAAUCCAUUAAUCAACUAAACAUAUCUUGUUGAAGUUAUAUGACAAUUAAGAAUACAGCAAAAAAACACCCUAAACAAUCAUGCAUCAAUCUUUGGAAUUCAACUUCACAAAAUGGAAUCAAGCAAACUAAACAUCACAAAUCUUUAGUAGAAAUGAUAUUUAGAGGAGUUGGAAAGAUGAUGAAAGGUUUAUACUGGAAAAGUACAGACCUAGGGUUUUGAUUAUCAGAGAACAGCACAUAUGAGAGAAGUCAAAUAUAUAAUAAAUCUGAGACUUUGGUCUUAUAAAAGAAAAACAACUACCAAGUAGUUGUUGGUAGAGUCCGCCUUAUACAACGUGCUGUCUUCUCUGUCUCCCAACACUUACCAUCCAAAUUUUGUUUAGUCUGAAUUUGAACCCCAUUACACCCCACUAGACCUGGAAAAAAUUGACCAGACCCAUUGGUACACUACCCGCAAGUUCCCAUAAGCACCUAGAAAAAACUGGUUUUGGGGGAGCAAAGUUUUCAACCCAUUAAGAAAUGGGUAACCUUUUUCCUAUUUAACUUGAAUUUGUUUUCCAACUUUAGCUUGUUUUACUUUUUUUUAUAUAUAUUAUGAGUUGGAAACAUUUUUUCCAACUUUUCUUAUAAUAAGUUAAAAACUUGUAUAGAGUUAACAUAGUAAAUUUGGAAUGACCCCUCCAAUCAAAUUACAGAAACUAAUCAAAUUACAGAACCUAAACUGGAGUGCGAAAAAAAUGAGAUAAUCUAAAGGGAAGUGCCAAUUAUGAAAAAAAAGUUACCGCCAACACACAUCAAUCUAUUCAAAUAAUUAUGAAAUUUCUCAACAGAAGCAAAACAACUGAAUUAGGGCUAGGUCUAGCAAAUGUACUAGGAAUCUAGCUUUUAAAGUAACAAAUAAAUCCACAAAUUCACAAUUAUAUAAUCAAUUAAUCAACUAAGUAGAUCUUAAUAAAGUGAUGUGACAACUAAACAUAUAUCAUAACCAUCCUAUACGAUCCCCAAGCAAUCUUUAGAGUUCAACCUUCAUAAAAUCGUAUAAAGCCAACUGAACAUAAGAAAUGGAGUACACAAACAUAUAUAAACCGAUCAGAAACAUGAAUUCAUUCAGUGAUUUUGAAUACCAGAGGAAACAGCUGCAGCGGCGCAUGAGAGAAU